rnacentral:rRNA from 1 species
AACGUACGCUGGCGGCACGCCUAACACAUGCAAGUCGAACGCAGUAGCAAUACUGAGUGGCAGACGGGUGAGUAACAUGUGGGAAUCUGCCUUGUGGUUCAGGACAACAUUGGGAAACCGAUGCUAAUACUGGAUAAGCCCUUACGGGGAAAGUUUUAAUGCCAUAAGAUGAGCCCGCAUUUGAUUAGUUAGUUGGUGAGGUAAUGGCUCACCAAGACAAUGAUCAAUAGCUGAUCUGAGAGGAUGAUCAGCCACACUGGGACUGAGACACGGCCCAGACUCCUACGGGAGGCAGCAGUGGGGAAUCUUGCACAAUGGAGGAAACUCUGACGCAGCGAUGCCGCGUGAGUGAAGAAGGCCUUUGGGUUGUAAAGCUCUUUUGUAGGGGAAGAUAGUGACUGUACCCUAAGAAUAAGGUCCGGCUAACUUCGUGCCAGCCGCCGCCGUAA